UGCCUCGACGGUGUAGUGGUAAAGCACACGUCCCCGAAGAGGAUGAAACGCGGGUUCGACUCCCGCUGAGGCCA